rnacentral:misc_RNA from 1 species
GAUGAAGAACGUAGCGAAAUGCGAUAAGUAGUGUGAAUUGCAGAAUUCAGUGAAUCAUCGAAUCUUUGAACGCCCAUUGCGACCUUUGGUAUUCCUUAGGGCAUGCCUGUUCGAGCGUCAUUUAAACCUUCAAGCUCAGCUUGGUGUUGGGUGACUGUCCGCUUCACCGCGGACUCGCCUCAAAAUUAUUGGCGGCCGGUACAUUGGCUCUCGAGCGCAGCAGAAACGCGUAACUCGAGGUCCUCGUGCUGGCUCCCAGAAGCUAUCUUCACAAUUUUGACCUCGGAUCAGGUAGGGAUACCCGCUGAACUUAAGCAUAUCAAUAAGCGGAGGA